rnacentral:tRNA from 1 species
AUUAUUUUGGCAGAAUAGUGCGAUUGAUUUAGAAUCAUUAUAUGUAAUACUUUUACAAAUAAUA